GUCUGCAGCCAUACCACCCUGAAUGCGCCUAAUCUCAGAAGCUAAGCAGGGUUGGGCCUGGUUAGUACUUGGAUGGGAGAGAGAAGGGGAGAGGGAGAGG
rnacentral:rRNA from 1 species